GGCAGCAUAGCUCAGUUGGUUAGAGCGACGGUCUCAUAAUCCGUAGGUCCCCGGUUCAAUUCCGGGUGCUGCUA
rnacentral:tRNA from 1 species